AGAGUUUGAUCCUGGCUCAGAUUGAACGCUGGCGGCAUGCUUUACACAUGCAAGUCGAACGGCAGCGCGGGGCAACCUGGCGGCGAGUGGCGAACGGGUGAGUAAUAUAUCGGAACGUACCCAAGAGUGGGGGAUAACGUAGCGAAAGUUACGCUAAUACCGCAUACGAUCUAAGGAUGAAAGCAGGGGAUCUUCGGACCUUGUGCUCCUGGAGCGGCCGAUAUCUGAUUAGCUAGUUGGUGAGGUAAAGGCUCACCAAGGCCACGAUCAGUAGCUGGUCUGAGAGGACGACCAGCCACACUGGAACUGAGACACGGUCCAGACUCCUACGGGAGGCAGCAGUGGGGAAUUUUGGACAAUGGGCGAAAGCCUGAUCCAGCAAUGCCGCGUGAGUGAAGAAGGCCUUCGGGUUGUAAAGCUCUUUUGUCAGGGAAGAAACGGCUUGGGCUAAUAUCCUGAGCUAAUGACGGUACCUGAAGAAUAAGCACCGGCUAACUACGUGCCAGCAGCCGCGGUAAUACGUAGGGUGCAAGCGUUAAUCGGAAUUACUGGGCGUAAAGCGUGCGCAGGCGGUUUUGUAAGUCUGACGUGAAAUCCCCGGGCUCAACCUGGGAAUUGCGUUGGAGACUGCAAGGCUAGAAUCUGGCAGAGGGGGGUAGAAUUCCACGUGUAGCAGUGAAAUGCGUAGAGAUGUGGAGGAACACCGAUGGCGAAGGCAGCC
rnacentral:rRNA from 1 species